rnacentral:lncRNA from 1 species
UGUUCUCAUAAUUUUUUUAUGUGAAUGCAAAUUCUUUGCUCAAUCAAUUCUCUUGUUAAUUCUUGUCAACCGGAGUCAUCAUGUUAAUUCUUUUCCAACCGGUGGGCUUCUCUCCAAGUGGAUUCAAUCCUCUCCAAUUUUUGCAAGAUUAUUCUCUCAUCUUAUUCCGAAGUUUGUCUCAUCUGUCCCAAGUAGUCUUUGUUUUUUCC